CUCAUUCUGAUUUUACACCCCAUCACUGUAUCUCUCCUCUCUGUAUCUCUUACAAACCCUAUUUCUCUUCUCUCUAGCUUCGAAUUGGAGACCGAAUGGGGGUGGAGUUUGGGGGUUUCAGAGAGGCGUUUGGGGAUGAGAGAGAGGGAGCGAUUGAAGGAAGGAGAGGGAGCGAGUGAGAUCACCACCAGAUCGACGAUCGCCGAUUCAUCAGGAGAUAGACGAUCGAAGAGACUCCUGUCUCUCACUCUUUUCGGACUCUCUCUCCUCUGUAUAUUCGAAUUGGAGACCGAAUGGGGGUAGAGUUUGGGGGUUUCGGAGCAUCAUUUCUCAAAUUUGGCAGCUGCCAUAUUCAAGGAGCAUCAUUUUUCAACACAGCCUGCAGCUCCAAUGGCAAACCAUUGGAGAUGCUCUAAAAAUCAUCCCCAUGUAUCAUAGAAAAAUCCAGCUCAGAUAGGUACAGCAGAGACAGAUAGGAAAAGCCUGAAAGCCUGAAGCUCAGAUAGGUACAGCAGGCCAACAGAGAGAGAGAGAGGAAAAGCCUGAAGCUCAGAUAGGUACAGCAGACCAAUACUCAAGCCUGAAAGCCUGUGUGUCUUUCUUUAUACUUUCUCCGUCGCUCUCGCUCGCUGUGUGUACAUCUCAUCCUUAUCUUGGCCGAUGGAUCGAUUCGAUUUGCUUUCUUCAAUCAUAGAGCUAUGCAAAGGGUUUUUGUUCGAUGAGAUGAUUUAUUGGGAAUGGUCUGUAUAUUCUGUGCAGGUAAUGGUUUGUAUUAGUUAGUUGGUACUUACUAUGACAUGCUUUACAUUCAGCCCCUUUGAUUAUAGUUUAUCUUUACGGUAAAGUUAAAAAAUUAUUAAAAAAGUUAAAAAUCCAACAAACUAUAUAAAAAAAAGUCAAAAAUUCUCUUUUCUUUUUAUUUUUUCACAUUUUUUUGUAAAAAAUCAAAAAGUCGUCAUAAACAUACUAAUUCUUUUAAUGCAUAUUUUAAU